UACAGAGGUCUCAAGCGUUGUUCGGAUUCAUUGGGCGUAAAGGGUGCGUAGGCGGCGCGGUAAGUCGGGUGUGAAAUCUCGGAGCUUAACUCCGAAACUGCAUUCGAUACUGCCGUGCUUGAGGACUGGAGAGGAGACUGGAAUUUACGGUGUAGCGGUGAAAUGCGUAGAUAUCGUAAGGAAGACCAGUGGCGAAGGCGGGACUCUGGACAGUUCCUGACGCUGAGGCACGAAGGCCAGGGGAGCAAACGGG
rnacentral:rRNA from 1 species